rnacentral:lncRNA from 1 species
GCCUAUGGCAUUUGGAAGUUCCUGGGCCAAGGACUGAACCUGUGCCACAGCAGGGACCUGAGCCAUAGUAGUGACAACAUUGGGUGCUUAACCCAAUGAGCCACAAAAGAACUCCUGGAGUGGCUAUAUAUAUUUUUGUUUGUUUGUUUGUUUGUUUGUUUUUCUAUUUCUUGGGCUGCUCCCGUGGCAUAUGGAGGUUCCCAAGCUAGGGGUCCAAUCGGAGCUGCAGCCACCGGCCUACACCAGAGCCACAGCAAUGCAGGAUCGAAGCCUUGUCUGCAACCUACACCAGAGCUCGCGGAGAUGCCGGAUCAUUAACCCACUGAGCAAGGGCAGGGACUGAACCCGCAACCUCAUGGUUCCUAGUCGGAUUCGUUAACCACUGUCUUAAAACAUGAAGCAAAACCUGAUAGAACUAAAAGGAGAAAUAGUCAAAUCCACAAUUAUAGUUAGAGAUUUUGAUACUCUUGCUCAAUAACUGAUAGAACAAGCACAUAGAAAGUCAUUACGGAUACAGAAGACUUAAAUAACACCAUCAGCUAAUCUGAUUUAAUAGAAAUUUAAAGGAUACUGACAGCAGUGGAAUACACUUUCAAGAGCGCAUAGAAUAUUUACCAAGAUAAAUCAUAUUCUUGGCCAUGAACCAGACCUUAAUAAAUUUAAAAUAAUUCAAGUUAUAUAUAAUGCAUGUUCUCUGAUAGCAAUGAGAUUAAAUUAGAAAUCAAUAACAGAAAGAUAUUCAAAUAUUUGGAAACAAAAUGAUAUACUCCUAAACAACUAAUGAGUUAAAGAAUAAAUCAGCUGAGAAAUUAUAAAGCAUUUGAACUAAAUUAAAAAAUAAAAAUACAACAAACCACAAUUUGUAGGGUGCUGGUAAAGCAGGACUUAGAGAGAAAUUUAUAACUCCAAAUGCCCCAAAAGAAAUGUCUCAAGUCAAUGACACCAGUUUUGACCUAAAGAAACUAAAAAUAUAAAAAAAGUAAAGGAAACUUAAAGUGGAAGAAAAAAAUAAUGACAAUCAGUGCCUAAACAAAUAAAAUAGAAAAUAGAGAAAAUAAAAUCAGUGAAACCAAGAGAUUUCUUUGUUCCUUGAGAAAAUAAAAAUAAUAAUAAACCUCUAGUCAAAUUCAUCAGGAAAAAAGAGAAACGACACAAAUUAUCAAUAUUAGGAAUGAGAGUAAUAGAGGAAUGAGAGUCAGCACAGAUUCUGCAGAUACUGAAAGGAUAAUAAAGGAGUUCCCACUGUGGUGCGGUGGGUUAAAAAUCCAAAGCAGCAGCUCAGGUCACUGCAGAGGUGUGGGCUCAAUCCCUGGCUGGUUACAGUGGGCUAAAGGGUCUGGAACUGCCACAGCUGCAUUGUAGUUUGCAGCUGUGGCUCGGAUUCAAUCCCUGGCCCAGGAACUUCCACAUGCUGUGGGUGCGGCCUUAAAAAAAAAAGAGAGAUGAUUAAAAAAUACCUUGGGGGAGUCCCUGCUGUGGUGCAGCUGAAACGAAUCCUACUAGUAUCCAUGAUAAUGUGGGUUUGAUCCCUGGCCUCACUCAGUGGGUUAAGGAUCUGGCGUUGCCAUGAGCUGUCGUAUAGGUCACAGAUGCAGCUUGGAUCUGGCAUUGUGUGGCUGUGGCAUAGGCUGGCAGCUGUAGCUCCAAUUUGACCUCUAUCCUGGGAACUUCCAUGUGUUGCACAAUUGUCCCUAAAAAGCAAAAAAAAAAAAAAAAAAAAAAAAAAUCUUGGGAACACCCUGGUGGCCUAGUGGUUGUCACUGCUGUUGCUCAUGUUACUGCUGUGGCUCAGGUUUAAUCUCUGGCUUGGGAACUUCUGCAUGCCAUGGGCAUGGCAAAAUAAAUAUAUACAUAAAAUUUAAAAAAUACAAAUUAAUUAAAAAUAUCUUGAAGAUAAUUCCAGUACUUUCUAUAACUUAGAAGAAAUGAAUAAAUUCAUUGAAAGACAUAAACUACCAAAACUUAAUUAAAAAUACUCUGAUAUCCCUAUAUCUAAUACAUUAAUUUUUUAAUUAAAAACCUUCAUACAAGCAAGCUCCAGGCCCCUCUGGCUUCACUAGUGAGGUCUACCAACAUUUAAGAAAGAAUUAAAACCAAUUCAUCUUUCAAGAUGAAGGAACUCUUCCCAACUCAUUACACAAGGCCAGCAGCAC